UGUGAUCAUAAUUUUAUGUUGAGAGGAUUAGGGUGGGAUUAUAAUACCGCCCUUACUCAGGUCACCUCCCUGAUCCAAGGUAAAGGGGGGUUCCCUGGGGUGUGGCCUGCCCCACCUUUUAUUUCUCAAGAGAUUAAAAGAAAGGGAAGCAAGCAGAGAGUGCGGGACCUCAUAACAUCAAGAAAGCAGCACCAGGAGCAGAGCGUAUCCUUUGGAUCUGGGGUCCCUGUGCCUCAGAAGCUCCUCGACUGGAGAAAGAUUGAGGACAAAAACCUUCCUCCAGAGCCGAAAAAGAGAGAAAGCCUUCCCCCAGAGCUGACACCCUGAAUUUAGACUUCUAGCCUACUGGGCUGUGAGAGAAUAAACUUCUCUUUGUUGAAGCCAUCCACUUGUGGUAUUUCUGUUAUAGCAGUAAUAGAUGACUAAGACAGAAUUUGGUACUGAGAGGGGGAUGUUGCUCUAACAGAUACCUAAAAUGUGGAAGUGGUUUUGAAACUGCAAAUGGAUAAAGUUGCAAUAACAGCAGAGGACCAUGCAGCAGAGAACCUGCAGUGGCAGAGAAGCAGCAGCAGCAGCAGAACCAGGAGACCAGUGCGAGACAGUGCUGGAGCAGACCCAUGGAAUGAGAGAGCUGAGGGCCUUUGCACAGGAGGUUUCCUGGCAGAGUGGGGUGCCUUUGGGCACUUAUCGGUGGAGCUAAGCUUGCCAACCCACAGAGCCAGAGAGCUGAGUGCCUGUGUGCAGGAGGCUUCGAGGCAGAGGGUGGUGCCCCUGAGCAAUUAUCAGUGGAGCUACAGAGCUUUGGAACACUUGUCCCAGCAGGGCAGAUGCGGGCAUGAGGCCUGACGAGCCGAGAGGCCAAGAAACCAUGAAGCUGAAGCUGAAGAGACAAGGAACAAAAGAAGCUGAGCUGCCUCAGUCUCAAAAGAAAGGACCAGGAAUGAACCUGGGUCCCAGGGGGAGACGGAGCACAGAGAAAAUUCAUCUUGAGUUCCAAGGGACCCCAGGGGCACAGAGAGGGCUUUUCUAUUCUGCAGAGGAGAAGGAGUGAGCCUGGGUCCCAGGUGAGGACAGGAACAAAAAGGACUCCUUGUAGGUGAGUAUGGGUCCCAGAGGAGGACAGGCUCACAGAGGACUCCUUUCCUCUUCUCAGAACCAGGGGUGAUCCUAGGGCCCAUGGGAGGACAGGUACACGGACGGCUUCCAUUUUUGUAGAGGGGCAGGAGUGAGCCUGGAUUCCAGGGGAGGAUGGGCACACAGAGCACCCCUCCUCUGGAGGGAAACAGGAAUGAGCCUGGGUCCCAGGGGAGGUCAGGCUUACAGCGGACACCACUUCUCAUAUCAGAACAAAGCAAGGGUGAGAAAAGAGGAGGAUGGGCACGCAGAGCACUCCCCUCUUCUUCGUGGAGAGGAGGAGGGGUGAACCUGGUUCCCAGGGAAGGACAAGCUCACAGAGACUCCUCUUCUCUUGUCAGAGAGGAGCAGGAGUGAGCCUGGGUACCGGGGGAGGGGGAGGAAGAUUCACAGAAGAUUCCUCUUGACACAGAGGGGCAGGGGUGUGCCUGGGUCCCAAAGGAAGACAGGCAUACAGAGGACUUCACUUUUUUAGACAGAAGUUAAGGUGAGUUUGAGUUCCAGGGGAGGACAAGAUAACAGAAGACUCCUCUUCUUGGAAAAAAAAAAAGAGGGGAGCAUAAAACAGCCUCUUCUCUGAGACGAGCAGGGGUGAUCCUGGGUCCCAGAGAAGGAAUGGAACACAAAAGACUCCUCUUCUCUUCUGGAUAGCAGCAGGGGUAAGCCUAGGUCCCAGAGGAGGCCAGAAGCACAGAGAAGCAGAGAUAAGCAUGAGUCCCAGGGGAGGACGGACACACAGAGGACUCAUCUUCUCUCCUGGAGAGAAGGAAGUAUGAAUCUGGGUCCCAGGAGAGGACGAGAUCACAGAGAAUUCCUCUUUUCUGUCAGAGAGGAGCGAGAGUGAGCCUGUGUCCCAGAGGAGGAUUGGCACACAGAGGACUCCUCUUCUCUUCUGGAAAGGCGAAGGGGUGAGCUUGGGUCAGGGGAGGAUGGAGUUACAGAAGGCUUCUAUUCUCUUAUCAGAGAGGAGCAAGGGUGGUGAGCCUAGGGCCAAGGGGAGACCAGGCACACAGAGGACUCCCAUUCUCUUCUGUAGAGGAGCAAGGGUAAGCCUGGGUCCCAGAAAUGGACAACCUCACAGAGGACUCCUUUUCUCUGUCAAAGAGGAGCAGGUGUGAGCCUGUGUCCCAGAAGAGGAUUGUCGCACAAAGGACUCCUCUUCUCUUCUGGAAAGGUGAAGGGGUGAGCUUGGGUCCUAGGGGAGGAUAGGCUCGCAAAAGACUUAUCUUCUGUUGUCAGAGUGAAGCAGGGUUCAGCCUGGAUCUCAGAGAUGGAUGGAUGCACAGAGGACACCUCUUCUGUUUGGAGAGAAGCAGGGGUCUUUGUUGUAAAGAGGGCUCGCUGGAAAUGUCAGUCUAUUCCACCAUCUUGGCUCCACCUCCUCUUCUCAUUUUGAGUCAUGCCACAUCAGAAGAUGAAGGUCCCAAAAGCUUGGCUCCACGCACAUCAUUAAGGUCAACUCUACUUUGAGGACGUAGCUCUUCCCCAGUUGUAUUUUGGGUGCCUUCCAACUUGAGGGGCUCAUCUUCCAGCACGAUACCAGACAAUGUUCCUCUGGAAUUCAUAAGGUUUUCCCUGGCCGAUUUUUUCAGAAAUAGACUUCCAGGUCCUUCUUCUGAGUCUGUCUGGAAGCUCUGCUGAAACCUGUCCUCCAAAGGUCAGGGGGAUAAUAAUGCUGCCCCAAAAGGAACUGCAGUGAAGUCCAGAGAUCCUUGGGAUGAGUGGAGAGGCACUGGCUUCCCACCCUGGCAGAGCCAUGCUGGUGCCACGAGCUUAGACAGAUACCUGAGGCUGACACGGACUAUAUGGAUUCCUUGAGGUGCAAGCCCAGUAGCAUGAUUCUCUUUGCCCUCCUCAAACCCACCCACACAACCCGAAGGAAGGUAAGUACUCAGCAAAAAAUAAAGUAAGUGAAAUCAGUUAACUGGGAUCAGCACUUACUUGUGAGCUUAAAAAUCAUGGUCACCUCAUUUGAGGGAAACUGUGAGCUGCAUUUGAGCACCUGUGCCAGCAUGCCCUCCAAGGUCAUGUACUAGUCAGCACUUGAGUUGGGCAGGACCCAGUCCUGUAGACCUCCUGGCCCCACAUUCAACUGGAGGAAGCAGCAGGUCUUGUUGACCUUUUUGCAGAAGAAUGACACUCUUGCUUGUUUAAGGGGCCUCAGGAAACACACCCACACACUGAGUGCCUCCAACUGUUUCCAUGAUCUCAUCGUGCUUGUGUUGAGAUCCUGACCAGAAGAAUCUAGAGAAAGGCAGCUGUUCUCAUUGCUGUUGGAGCAGUCGCUUGACGUCACUGAGAGUUGCAGGCAGAGUUUCCUGGGCAGCUGGGGACAAAGAAGGUAGCCUUCAAACAGAGCUGCUGCCCUGGCAGUGGCAAAGAAACAUCUGCUACCACCCAAAAGGCUGAGGUAAUAAAGGUGGAAACGAUAUGUUCCUGGUCUUGUCCAAUCAGUGGAGGAGGAUGAAGAUUGAGAAAUGUGUCUGGCACUGGUGCAGAAGGAGAAUGCAUAAGUAGCGAGCUCACUUGCUUACCAGAAUGAGAUGACUUCAUUAGCCAAGCCAGCCUGCAUCUCAAUGGGAAGACCAGCCCCAGGGUGAGGGUGUGAGGGGGCCCAGCAAAAGGGCUGAUGGUGGGAAGUCACCUGGAACCAACAAGGAGCAGAGUGCCUUUCUACCUCUGUGUCUCCUCUUCAUGCCCUCAGAGCCCCUUUCGAAGGCAGCAGCUGACCAGAAAAUGCCACUCUUUAAGCCAAGAGUGAAAAGCACCUAAGAGGAGAAAUGCUUCAGCAGAACCACAGACUGGGCGACCUGAUCCCCGUCUGCCUUUUCAGAUAGAAAAGCAUCAAAGAAGGCUGAGGAUCAUGAAUACUACCCUUGUAUUUUGUAGAGAGCAUCCAUCCUUCUUUUGUCUUCAUUAUACAAAUAAUAUACAUUUGUCAUCAAUAAAUAAGGAGAAAGAGAAACUUGCUGUUCCCCACACAGACAUUCCUUUUGAGUGGACACCACAGCCCAGCACUGCUGGGACUGAGCUGUGUGCAGGAUCAUGGUCCUGCCAUGGAGCAGAUGCCUCAAGUCUGUUCUGCUAUUUUUCGUGGUCCUGACAUGCUACUGAGUGAUUCAGGGACCACACCAUGAGCUGCAAGGCCCUGCCAGAUGUUCAUUGUUGUUGUUGUUGUUAGGUGCCAUCGAGUCACUUCCAACUCAUAACAACCCUAUGCACAACAGAACAAAGCACUGCCCAGUCCUGCGCCAUCCUUAAAAUCGUUGUUUUGCUUGAGCUCAUUGUUGCAGCCACUGUGUCAGUCCACCUCAUUGAGGGUCUUCAUACAUACCCACAUAUUUUUUAUUCUAAAAAUUUUCUAAGAACAUACUAUUUACCUUAUUAUGACUCCUUUUCCAUAUCAGAAAUAUAAUUCAUAAAUUUAUUUUAUUUUUUGAAAGUUUUUCAUAAGUUCCAGAAUUUAUUUAACCAAUCUCCUAUUGUUGGAUACAUGGACUGUUUUCAACUCUUCUUUAUAAAUGGCCCUUAUAAAGACCAAUCUUGUAGCUAAACCUUAUCAUACAAUGUCAUGGAUUGAACUGUGUCCCCCAAAAUAUGUGUCAACUUGGUUAGGUCAUGAUUCCCAGUAUUGUGUGGUUGUCCUCCAUUUUGUGAUUUUCCUAUGUGUUAUAAAUCUUAAUCUCUGCCUGUGGUUAAAGAGGAUUAGAGUGGGAUGUAACACCCUUACUCAGGUCACAUCCCUGAUCCAAUGUAAAGGGAGUUUCCCUGGGGUGCGGCCUGUACCACCUUUUAUCUCACAAAAGAUAAAAGGAAAGGGAAAUAAGCAGAGAGUUGGGAACCUCAGACCACCAGGAAAGCAGUGCUGGAAGCAGAGCGCACUUCUUUUGGACCUAGGUUUCCUGCAUGGAGAAGCUCCUAGUCCAGGUGUCAUGGAUUGAAUUGUGUCCCCCCAAAAUAUCUGCCAACUUGACUAGAAAGAAGUGAGCAGAGAGACAUGGGGACCUCAUACCACCAAGAAAGCAGCACUGGGAGCAGAGCAUGUCUUUUGGACCCGAGGUUCCUGUGCUGAGAUGCUCCCAGAUCAACUGAAGACUGAUGACAAGGACCUUCCUCCAGAGCCAACAGAGAGAGAAACCCUUCCCUUGGAGCCAGGGCCCUGAAUUCAGAAUUCUAACCUACUGGACUGUGAGAGAAUAAACUUCUCUUUGUUAAAGCCAUCCACUCAUGGCAUUUCUGUUAUAGCAGCACUAGAUAACCAAGACACCAGGGGAAGAUUGAUGAGAAAGAUCUUCCUCCAGAGCCGACAAAGAGAGAAAGCCUUCCCCUGGAGCUGACACCCUGAAUUUGGACUUCUAGCGUAUUAGACUGUGAGAAAAUAAAUUUCUCUUUGUUAUAGCCAUCCACUCGUGGCAUUUCUGUUAUAGCAGCACUAGAUGACUAGGACAUACAUGCUUGAUUAUUUCCUUAGAAUUUCAAUAAGUAAUAUUAAGAACAUGCAUAAUAUUAGGGCUUUCUAUAUCAAUUGCUAUAUUGCCUCCCAAAAAGGUUAAACAACUAACACACCCAACAGCAAUGUAUCAAUCACUCCCAUUUUAAACAAUUCUUCAGAGAAGUAAAUUCAAUGCCCCCCAGGUUCCUCUCUCAGUUUUUGCUGCAUCAAGGUCAUCCAUUUUCCCACACCUUCUUCACAAAUGACACCUUCUUCACAUCUGCUAUGUAAGGAGACACAAAGAUGAAUCCCAUGCAGUCACAGUACAGAAGUGAACAAAGACCCAGUAAAAAUGAUCUAUGCUCCCAAAGUUUCUCUGAAUAUUCUUAAAUUCCCUGAAAGUUACUCACUUAGAGGGGCCCACUGGGAGUCUUGGUCUGUUGCCUUAGAUUGCCAACCAGGGAACUGAAACCAAGCAGUGUACUGACCUGCCAGGCUGGAUCUUUAGGAAACCAACCCCAAGGGCCUGCUCCUCCACUAUCCCUGAUUUCCACCCUGCUGGUUAGGGCACCUCACUGAGGUGCAUUUCAGUCCUCUCCAGUUUUCUCCAUGCAAAGCUGGUGCAUUUCAGUCUGAUGACUUCUUACCCAUGUGAUUGGUAUAGCUCACUAAGGUGUGGGACUAUUCAGGGGAAUAAGGAAAGGGUCUGUGCAAGGUGAGCUGUACAAGGUGAAAGGCGCGAGGCUGUAUAGAGUGAUAAUGGAGAAGAUGAUGCAAGGUAAGAGGGGUGGAGGCUGUCCCAGGCAGUGGAGGGGCCUGAACCGUAUCAAUCACCUGGAAAGGAUGCAGUGUGGACAGUGCUGGCUCCAUGUCUGAGGACCCAGAAGGUAUUCUGGGUAGAACAACCUGAGCAAGAUUGUGCUGGUCUCUGACACCACCUCCAGAGCCUCUUGUUCUCCUACCCUGAGAAACACAGGAGGUUGUGUGCACUAAGGAGGAGUGUUCACAGCCACAUGUAGAACGGCUCUUCGCUGACUGUGUGGAAGGUGGAAUGCAUUGCAGCCGGGUGGCUAUGAGUCCAGACCAGAACUCAACUAAAAAUAACACAAGGACACCCAGAACAGAGAGCGAGUUAAAAGAGAGUCAGAGGUCCACUGAGAGGACCUGAUGCCAGGUGAGGAAAGGGAGGGAGAAUAAGGGGUCUAAGGUGAUGGGAUAUUUUCCCUUGGGUAUGUAUUUUUACCACUGACCUAUCUAGAAAAUAUAAAAGCAGGUUGGGGACAAAGGUUAAGAGAAUAAUAUAGGACACCCUGAACCUGAAGUGCCUCUGGGAUAGCUCAGUGGUUAGAAACUGGGACAAGUGGGUCUAGAAAAAGUCAUUUACCGUUUCUGAGAUUCAGUGUUCUCCUCUGUAAAAUAGGGACCCAAGAGAAAAUUGCUUUGGGAGUCCUUAAUAUUCAAGUGACUAUUCAGGCAGAAAAAGUGGGUGGACGCACUGCAGGGAAAGCAGAGCACCAAGAGGAAAAAGGGCCAAAUGGAAAACCUUGAGGUUUUUGAGCAUUUCCUGGGCGAGUGGAGGAGCAUAGAGGACAUAUUGCAAAGAAGGAGUCAGAGAGACAAAAGUAGAUACAUAGCAAGGUCCUUCCACUGGAGCUGAAGGAGGAACAGUUUCUAAAAAAAAAUCUUAAAAAUAUGAAAACUUUAGAUGUACUUUGACCCACAAUUCUACCUCUAAGAAUAUGUCCUCCAAAACCACUUACACAAAUGCUUGAAUGUGGUUACAAAUAUAUUCAUAUUUUUUGUGAGAGAAAAAUUGGAGACAAUCCCAGUGCUUAAAACAGCAGAAAUUUGCUGCCAUAAAAAUUAAAUAGACCCAGUAUAUUCACUCCAACAUAAAGAAAACAAAAAUCCGCACAGCUGGAUCAAUAAGAAACAUCAUGAGAAACGGAGAAAAUGUUAAAGUUGUCAAGGAAUUCAUUUUACUUGGAUCUGCAAUUAAGAAAUCAAACAUAGUGUGGGGCCAAUAGGGCGGAAUACUCAGAUGCUUCCUGUCAUCCCUCUUACAACAAAGGCCCAAAAGACAAGUGAAUGGAUUAUAUAUGACAAUCUAGGAGCCCUGAUCAUCAAAGACAAAGCUGAAGAGUCAGAUUUAGCAGCAGGGGUAAAAAGAGACAAUUCAAAAGCACCAGAGAAGCACCAGUUGCAAGAUUGCCAGUGCCCUGCUGGCUGGGUUGGCCAGUGCACGUGGCAUUCAGGAUUCAUCUAACCACAUCAGAUGAGGCUGGAAAGCUUUGAGUCUGCAUACGCCUCCGGAGGCAGGUGGAAGCAGCCCUGAGCCUGCGAAAGUUAAGUGCAUAGGGGCAAAAUGAUCCCUCCCCUUCAGAGUUUCGAAGUAGAGAAGUUCUUCUUUCCCUUCACCUGCCACCAACCCCACUCCACUUCAACACCAGUCUGGCAAUAUUCAACAACUUCCAUACCCCCUAAGCUGCAAACUCAGGGCUAUCCGUGCCCACACCAGUUUUGUGGCUUUAAAAAAUGCCAUGCCCCCUAAGUCAGGAACUCAGGGUGGGUAAGGAGGCCCUGCCCUUCAGACAGUCACUGGCAUAAGGGGUCCACAGACUUGCAGUGCCCUUCGCCCAUCUCUAGGCCUGUGUUGGCCAAUUCAACACUGCAUGCCAUCAUUAGCAUGAAACAGCAGGACGUACACCUGAAUCCCAUUUUCAACUGCAUCAGCCAAAGAGGAGCUGCAGAUUUGUGAUAUUUGACACUGCCGUGUCCCUUAAGCAGGGGCCUUACCCACCCACAUCAGGGGUCUAAGGGCCAGAGGUACCACUCAUUCCAUCUAGCCACCCAUGACAGAGGUCUAAGAAUAAGUAGUACCUCCCGGGCCCUCCAGCCAACGGCAUUGGGUGCCCAAGGACAGGCAUGAUACCCUCCCACUAAGCACUCCAGGGGACAGGGAAAUUCCCCCUACCCAGGCACCAGGGGACAGGUGUGAGCCCCAUGCCUUGGUCCACACAUGGCCUCCUACUCAACCAGAUACCUGUGCCUGCUCUGAACACCUCUAUGCAGCCCUGCUGAUCUAGGACUGUAGGUGAGAGUCUGCACCACACAGUAGGUGACCAGUAACCUGCACACCUGUGCCACACCUGCACAAGAAAAGUAAACAGCCUCCUGGGCUCACACACCCAGUACUGCUCUGACGGCCUGGAGACAGGACGUGAGAGCUUCAAAGAUGCCAAUAACUGAAGUAGCUUGCAUGCCCAGCCUGCUUGGACAUAUCAAAACAAAACAAAACAAAAAUGACACAAUAAACAAACAUGCAAUAAAUAAAUUUAAUAACUUAUUGAUACCUCACAGACAACAGUCAAUAUCAAAUUACACAAAGAAGCAAAUCAAGAUGACUCUAGCAAGCAACCAAAAUAAAGAACCAGGAAACCUUCCAGAGAAGGAGGAGGUAAUGGAACUACCCGAGAUAGAAUUCAAAAGGCUAAUAUACAGAGCUCUCCAACAGAUCAGAAAGAUCAGGCAAAACUCAGACUAAGCCAAGGAACACACGGACAAUGCAAUAGAGGAAUUCAGGAAAACAGUACAAGAACAAAAUGACAAAUUUAACAGGCUGACUGAAUCCACACAGAGACAGCAACUAGAAAUCAAAAAGAUUAACAAUAAAAUUUCAGAAUUACACAACUUGAUAGAAGGUCAUAGGAGCAGAAUUAAGGCAGUUGGAAGUCAGAAUUAGUGAGACUGAAGAUAAAUCCCUUGACAUUAAUUUAUUUGAGGAAAAAUUAAAAAAAAAGAAUUUUAAAAUAUGAAGAAAGCCUAAGAAUUAUAUGGGACACUAUCAAGAGGAAAAACAUACAAGUGAUCAGAGUACGAGAACAGGGAGGGAUAACAGAAAACACAGACAGAAUUGCUGAAGACUUGCUGGCAGAAAAUUUCCCUAAUAUCAUGAAAGACGAGAAGACAUCUAUCCAAGAAGCUCAAUGAAACCCACACAGGGUAGACCCAAAAGAAAGUCAUCAGGAUAUAUCAUAAUCAAACUUGCCAAAACCAAAGAUGAAGGAAGAAUUUUGAGAGUGGUAAAGGAUAAACGAAAACUCACUGUCUUAGUCAUCUAGUGCUGCUAUAACAGAAAUACCACAAGUGGAUGGCUUCAACAAAGACAAGCUUAUUCUCUCACAAUUUAGGAGGCUACGAGUCCAAAUUGAGGGUGUCAGUUCCAGUGGAAGUCUUUCUCUGUCUGCUCUGGAAGAACGCACUUGUCAUCAAUCUUCCCCUGGACCAGGAGCUUCUCUGUGCAGGAACCCCGGGUCCAAAGGACUAGCUCUGCUCCAAGACCUGCUUUCUUGGUGGUGUGAGGACCCCAUCUCUCUGCUCACUUCCCUUUCCUUUUAUCUCUUGUAAGAUAAAAGGUGAUGCAGGCCACACCCCAUGGAAACUCUUUUUACAUUGGAUCAGGGAUAUGACCUGAGUAAGGGUGUUACAUUCCACCCUAAUCUUCCUUAACAUAAUCUAAUCCUGCCUCGUCAACCACAGGCAGAGAUUAGGAUUUACAACACACAGGAAAAACACAUCAAUCACAAAAUGGAGGAAUCUUGGCCCAACCAAGCUGACACACAUUUUGGGGGGACACAAUUCAAUCCUUGACAGUCAACUACAAAGGAAAACCAAUAAGACUAGGGUCUGACUACUCAGAAGAAAGCAUACAGGCAAGAAGGCAAUGAGAUGACAUAUAUAAAGUCCUGAAGGAAAAAAAUUGCAAGCCACAAAUUACAUAUCCAGCAAAAUUGCCUCUCAAAUAUGAUGGCAAAAUUAGGACAUUUCCAGAUAAACAGAAGUUAAGGAAAUUUGUAAAAACCAAAGCAAAAUUACAAUAAAUAUUAAAGGGAUACCUCAGGUUAGAGAAACUACUAUAUAGACAGCAAUCCAAGACUAGGACACAAGGUAGAUCAACCAGUUAUCAACCUAUACAGGGAAUUCAAAAAUCAAAACUCAAAGACUGAAAAUAGGGAACCAGAGACAUCAGUAUGUAAAUGACAAUAUCAAAACAAAAAAGAUGGAAUAAACAUUGAAGUCACAGAACUUCCACGUGGAGAGGACAUUAAGGCAAUAUCAAGUAAUAAAAUAUCAGUUUAAAUUUAGAAAAAUAAAUUUCAAGGUAACCACAAAGGAAACUAACAAACUUACCCAUCAAAAUAAAAAAGAACAACAUAAAGAUCCAGCAAACACAAAAUGAACAAUAUUGAAAAAGAUGAAAAGAAAAUAUAUAAAGUAAAAUGACUCAUAACGGAAAAUUAAGCACAACAAAGAAACUGUCAACACCACACACACAAAAAAAAAUGACAGCAGUAAACUACCUACCAAUAAUUACACUGAAUGUGAACGGCCUAACUGCACCAGUAAAGAGACAGAGAGUGCCAGAAUGGAUUUAAAAAAAAAAAAAAAACACAUUUCAUCUAUAUGCUGACAAGAGACACACUUUAGACACAAAGGCGUAAACAAACUAAAGAUCAAAGGAUGGAAAAAUAUAUUAAGCAAGCAACCACCAAAAAAAGAGCAGGAGUGGCAAUAUUAAUCUCUGACAAAAUAGACUUUAAAGCAAAAUCCACCACAAAGGAUAAGGAAGGACACUAUGUAAUGAUUAAAGUGUCAACACAACAGGAAGACAUAACCAUAAUAAAUAUAUAUGCACUAAUGACAGGGCUCCAAAAUACAUAAAACAAACUAUAACAGCAUUGGAAAGAGAAAUAGCUCCACGGUAAUAGCAAGAGGCUUCAACACACCAUUUUCUGUGAAGGACAGAGUACCUAGAAAGAAACUCGAUAAAGAUAGAGAAAAUCUAAACACUGCAAUCAAUCAACUUGAUCUUAUAGGCAUAUACAGAACACUCCAUCCAACAGCACACAAGUAGACAUUCUUUUCCAAUACACAUGAAACAUUCUCCAGAAUAGACCACAUUUUAGGCCACAGAGCAAACCUUAACAGAAUCCAAAACAUCAAAAUAUGACAAAACAUCUUUUCUGGCCAUAAUGCCAUAAAAGUAGAAAUCAGAAACAUCAAAGAAAAAAAUACAUGGAAAUUUAACAACACCUUGCUUAAAAACUACUGGGUUAUAGAAAAAUGAAGGAUGGAAUAAAGAAAUUCAUAGAAUAAAAUGAGAAUUUAAAUACAUCUUACCAAAACCUUUGGGACACAGUAAACGCAUUGCUUAGAGGUCAAUUUAUAGUAAUAAAUGCACACAUCCGAAAAGAAGAAAGGGCCAAAAUCAAAACAUUAACCCUACAACUCGAACAAAUAGAGAGUAGCAAAAGAAGCCCUCUGGCAACAGAAGAAAGGAAAUCAUAAAGAUUAGAGCAGAAAUAAAUGAAAGAGAGAAUAGAAAAACUUUUCAGUCAACAAGACCAAAAGUUGAUUCUUUGAAAAGAUCAACAAAAUUGGCAAACCCUUGGCCAAACUGACAAAGGAAAAACAGAAGAAGAAGCAAAUAACCUGAAUAAGAAAUGAGAUGGGUAAUACCAAAACAGAUCCAACUGAAAUUAAAAGGAUCAUAACAGAAUAGUAUGAAAAAUUGUACUCCAACAUAUUUGAAAAUCUAGAGGAAAUGGACAUAUUUCUAGAACCACACAACCUACCUAAACUAACACAAAAGAAGGUAGAAAAACUAAAUAAACCCAUAACAAAAGAGACUGAAAAGGCAAUAAAUAAGACUCCCAACAAAAAAAAAGCCCAGGCCAGAUGGCUUCACCAGAGAAUUUUACCAAACUUUCAGAGAAGAGUUAGCACCAGCACUUCUAAAGGUAUUUCAGUGGAUAGAAAAUGAAGGAGUACUCCCAAACUCAUUCUAUGAAAUCAACAUAACCCUGAUACCAAAGCCAAGUAAAGACACCACAAAAAAAAGAAAAUGACAGACCAAUAUCCCUUAUGAACAUAGACUCAAAAUUCCUCAACAAAAUUCUAGCCAAUAGAAUCCCACAGCAUAUCACAAAAAGUGGGAUUCAUACUAGGUAUGUAGGGAUGGUUCAACAUUAGAAAAUCAAUCAACAUAAUCCAUCACAUAAAUAAAACAAAGGAGCCACAUCAUUCUAUCAAUCAAUACAGAAAAGGCAUUUGACAAAAUCCAACACCUAUCCUUGAUAAAAACUCGUAGCAGAAUAGGAAAAGAAAGGAAAUUGCUCAACAUAAUAAACAGUAUUUAUACAAAGCUGACAGCCAAUAUCAUUCUAAAUGGGAAGAAACUGAAAGGAUCACCUUCGAGAACACGAACCAGACGAGGAUGCCUUUUAUCACCACUCGUAUUCAACACUGUAUUGGAGGUCCUAGCCAAAGCAAUAAGGCAAUAAAUAAAUAAAUAAAUAAAGGGCAUCCAGAUUGGUAAGAAAGAAGUAAAAGUAUCCCUAUUCACAGAUGAUAUGAUCUUGUGCACAGAAAAACCCAAAGAAUCCACUAGAAAACUACUGGAAUUAAUAGAUUUCAGCAAAGUAUUAGGAUAAAAGAUCAACACAAAAAUCAGUUGGAUUCCUCUACAUCAACAAAGAGAACUUCGAAAAGGAAACCACCAAAUCAAUACCAUUUACAAUACCUCCCAAGAAGAUAAAGUACUUCGGAAUAACUCUAACCAGAGAUAUAAAAGACCUAUACAAAGAAAACUACAAAACACUACUGAAAGAGGCAGGUCCAAGAUGGCGGAGUAGUCAGAUACUUCCAGUGAUCCCUCUUACAACAAAGACCAAAAAAAACUAGUGAAAUUAUUAUAUAUAUGACAAGCUAGGAGCCCUGAACAGCAAAGGCAAAGUUAGGAUAUUGUACUGAGUGGCAGGGAGAGGGAGAGGCGCUUCAGAAGUGGCAAGAAGUUGCCAGGCCUGAAUCAGUGGAAACCAGCAUGCCUCAGGCACAAUCCCCUGGGGUGACCUCAGCAGGGCUGGAGGUAGCGUUCAGGACAGGGUUUUCUCAGAGAGAGGCAGCAAGCCGCACAGUCUACUCACACCGCUGGAACCAGAGAACAGCGAUCUCAGCAAAAGCUAAGUACAUGCAUUUAUUUUACCAUGCUCCCAGCCCCCAAGCUGGCUUCAGUACCUGUUGAUUUCCCUGGGAAUGAGAAAGGUUCUGCUGAGCACUC